UAACACCAACCAAAAUUGUUAAUAUAGCACUUUUAAAGGUGUUAAAUUUAACACCUAAAAGGUGUCAUUUUUGCCAUUUGUAUUUAACACCUUUUUCGGUGUUGAUUUAACACUCUAAAAUUAACAUUGUAGCGUACACAACCAGCGCAUCGAAAGGUUGUGGCGUGAUGUUUUUUUAGGCUGUACAAGUGUUUUUUACAAUCUUAUUUACCACAUGGAAGAGUCUGGCAUUCUAAAUGCCUGUGAUAAAUACCACUUGGCUGCUCUGCACUUCGUUUACGAAAAGAGGAUAAAUGAGUCGUUAGCAGCGUUUAAAGAUGCUUACAACAAGGCUCCAACAAGCACGGAACAUAAUCAAACCCCUUAGCAAGUUGGGAUCAGUGGUAUGUUACAAAACAGGCAUUUAGGUGGUACAGUCAAUACAGAAUUUAGCAACAAGAUUAAUGAAGAUAGCUACGGCGUCAAUAUUGCAAACGAGCCACUAAUUAUUCUGGAAAAUGACCAAAAGGAAUGCCCAGAAACACAGUUAAAUCUGCAUCCAAAUGACUGGUUGGAACUAGAGAAUACAAUUCAACUUACUAGCCCAUCGCUUUACCAAGGUGUUGACAUUUAUAUUUAAACCCUUCAAUUCCUUAACGAUAGACGUCCAUUGAUUGACGAGCUGUUAAUGUGUGCAACCUUUUUCACAAUCGUUCAGGAUAUUUUGAAAGAAGUUGCAGAAAAGAAGUACCCAAAGCACCAACACUAAUCAAGCCUUUUCUGAUAUCGUCAAGUGCAGGAAUCCUUUUUGACAUAACUUCAUUUAUCAGACAACACUCGUAAGCGUUAUUUCUUGUUUCUGUCGUGAUAAUCAAAUGAGGAAAUCCUGCUGCAUAAAGUUUUAAUAAAGUUUUCCCCUUAAUAAUAAACUUUAUACCCAAAUUUAAUAUCAGUUUCUAUGGGAUUUUUCCCUCUAAGUAUGCAACAUCAGGUGUUGCUUAUACAAGAAUGAUGAAGUGCAUGUACACAUGUAAAAAUAAGGCAAUAAAACCAAAUUAUUUAAGCA